rnacentral:rRNA from 1 species
GACAGAGGCCCCAAGCGUUAGGCGGAAUCACUGGGCUUAAAGCGUGUGUAGGCGGAUCGUUAAGUGUCUUGUGAAAUCCCACGGCUCACCCGUGGAACUGCUGGGCAUACUGGCGAUCUUGGGCCAACUAGGGGCAGCCGGAACAAGCGGUGGAGCGGUGAAAUGCGUAGAUAUCGCUUGGAACGCCGAAGGUGAAAACAGGCUGCUGGGGUUGCGCCGGACG